ACAGGCCCAGGUCCAUUUGGUCCAUGGCAUUUUGAAGGUCUUGAAGUUUUUCCAGUGCCCAGUCAACCUCAUGUUGCCAGCUGAACCGCUCCAAAUUCUGCUCAACCUUCCCUUCCUGCUCUGCAUCUGAUAACGGGACAGGGACACAAGUUACUGAUGAGGUAAAAAGGGCGGGACUGACUCGCGUCUCUAGACUUCAGAGUCAGACACGAGCGCCGCUACUCAUGGAGCAUGCGCGCUAACCGCCAAACGAACAACGAUAUGUUUAAAAGAAUGUAAUGUAUCCUUUGAAUCAGCUGUUAUAAAUCCAGAACAGAUUUAUAUUCUCCCCUUUCAAACAUUUUUUAACGUUUCAAUUUGUGUCCUGUAAGGUUUAUUGUCUCUACUGAGCCAUUACAGAGACAUAAAUCAACUGGCACUGAUACUGUACACUAAAACUGUGACCUCCAGAAAUAAAAGGUGCAAUAAAAUGUGUGGUUCAGUGCAAGAUUUACAUCAGAAAGACACCAUUUACAUCAGAAAGAUAACAGACGUUACAUUUGACACUUCAAUAGCAACAGACAGGACAAAAUAUGACUGCUAGGUGAAAUCUAUUACAAUGACAUGAUACACAAGAAAUAAGUGAUCUUUUAUUUAAAUCAAGCCUUAUUAAUGCACCAGAAAUAAAAUGCAUAA